GUAACUCAAACCUUUAUGUCAGUUUGUGUAUAUGUUUUUAUAUGAAAAGUGUUGCUAACUGUAGUCAUUAUGUCUCAGUCUGUAUGUUUGUGUGUCUAAGUGUGUAAAUAAAAAAUAUUUUCUACCUCCGGAUGGUAUUAAUAAAAAUUGAUUUAAAAACAAGUGCUUGUGAAAAUUGGGCAUUCUAAAACUUCCAGAAAAUUUAAUAAAAAAUAUUAAGCAUGAAUACUAAUUUAAGUUUAAGUGAAACGGACAUGUCCUUAUAGUUAUCAGCUGCCAACGUUUACUUAAAGUCAUUUAAUUUGAUAUUACCUGCUAAAUAUUUCAAGAAGAUGUUUAAAGAAAAGCUUGACUUUGUCUAAUGUUUAGUAAAAGUUUUAUAAGUAAUCUGGCAUGGUUGCUAAAAAUAAGGAAACAAGUGUAGCAAAUGAACAUCUUAAUAAUAAUACUGUAUUAAUGUAAAACAGUGUAUAUAUCUGCAAAAAGCCUGAGAAUUUUUGCAGUAACCAAAAUUCUUAAAGUUUGCUAAGUUAUAUAGACAUAUUUUAUCUUAAUAUUAAAAAGACUAAGCUAAGUGUUGUUAACAACUAUGUAACCUUCUGCAUUUGCUUUUAAACUUUCUUAUUAUCAUUCUAGUUAAAUAACAAGUGUUAUUUAAUAACUAUAAUUCUAUUGAGGCAAGUGCCUUAAAAACUUUUGACAACUUCCCAAGACCAAAUUUAAAAAAGUAUUUUUACCUCUAAUUAACUCUGAUAUUUUCCAGAGGGCCCCGGGAACAUGUCAGAGGAAUUUCUUCUCCUCAUCGAGGAAAAUAUUUGACUAAUUUGGCUUAUUUACCUGAUGUAUAUUUACCUGGAAAGCACUAUCAAAGGGAAGAAUGCCAAACUUUAUUACUGAAUAUUUUAUGCUACAGAAAUAUCACUCUUCCCCCUAAGAUGCUUACUCUUGAUGUCCAAUUAAAUUUACCUGUUAGUACUACUAUAAUUACUGACUGUGUAUUUAUUGAUUGUACUCAUGUACCCUCUUACUGUAAUUCUACAAUCAAUGUAAAAUGGUCUUCUGGAUAUAGACUUCCAAAUGGUUGGGUAUUUUUGUGUAAU